UACAGAGGGUGCGAGCGUUGUUCGGAAUUAUUGGGCGUAAAGGGCGCGUAGGCGGUGCGGUAAGUCACCUGUGAAAUCUCCUGGCUCAACUGGGAGCUUGCAGGCGAAACUGCCGUGCUGGAGUGUGGGAGAGGUGCGUGGAAUUCCUGGUGUAGCGGUGAAAUGCGUAGAUAUCGGGAGGAACACCAGUGGCGAAGGCGAUCACCUGGGGUUGUUCUGACGCUGAGGAGCGAAAGCUAGGGGAGCAAACGGG
rnacentral:rRNA from 1 species